rnacentral:ncRNA from 1 species
UUAAAGUUUUGUUUUGGCUUAAAAAAGUUUGGUAAAUGGUAAUUUUACAUGUGAGUUUUAAUUUAAAUGGGUAAUUUAUACAGUAAAUAAAUUUAAUGAUUAAGGGUACUUAGAAUUAGAUAUUCAUAAUAGUAUAGACAAAUCUUGUGCCAGCAGUUGCGGUUAAACAUGAUAUACUUCUAAAUUUGGUUCGGGUGAUAAUUAUCAUAUAAUUUAAAAAUUAAAGUUGGUUGUAUAAGGUGAAAUUUUAUAAUUAAUUGGAUUUAUUAUUAAAUGAAAAAUUAUUAGAUUUUAAGUGUAAACUAGGAUUAGAUACCCUAUUAUUAAGAAAGUAAAAUUAAACCCCUGAGAAGUAUUAGUUAUUCUUGAAAUUUAAAAAAUUUGGCGGUGUUUUAGUCUGUUCAGAGGAACCUGUCCUGUAAUUGAUAAUCCACGAUAAAUUAAACUUGUUUUUUGAGUUUGUAUAUCGUCGUUAUUUGAAUAUCUUUUAAAGGGGAAAUAUUCAAUAUUUAAAAUUUUAAUUUAAAUCAGAUCAAGGUGCAGCUUAUAAAUAAGGAGAGAUGGGUUACAUUAAAUGUAUUUUUAUGGUUUGGGAGGUGAAAUUCUUACAAUAAAUUGGAUUUGAUAGUAAAGUAAAUAAUUUAAUUUAUUUGAUUAAAGCUCUAGAAUAUGCACAUAUCGCCCGUCGCUCCUAUUAUAAAAUAGGAUAAGUCGUAACACAGUAGGUGUACCGGAAGGUGUACCUGGAAAGAC